rnacentral:rRNA from 1 species
AUUGAACGCUGGCGGCAUGCCUAACACAUGCAAGUCGAGCGGAUGAAGGGAGCUUGCUCCUGGAUUCAGCGGCGGACGGGUGAGUAAUGCCUAGGAAUCUGCCUGGUAGUGGGGGAUAACGUCCGGAAACGGGCGCUAAUACCGCAUACGUCCUGAGGGUGAAAGUGGGGGAUCUUCGGACCUAACGCUAUUAGAUGAGCCUAGGUCGGAUUAGCUAGUUGGUGUGGUAACGGCCUACCAAGGCGACGAUCCGUAACUGGUCUGAGAGGAUGAUCAGUCACACUGGAACUGAGACACGGUCCAGACUCCUACGGGAGGCAGCAGUGGGGAAUAUUCGACAAUGGGCGAAAGCCUGAUCGAGCCAUGCCGCGUGUGUGAAGAAGGUCUUCGGAUCGUAAAGCACUUUAAGUAGGGAAGAACGGAAGUAAGUUAAUACCUUGCUGUUUUGACGGUACCUACAGAAUAAGCACCGGCUAACUACGUG